rnacentral:rRNA from 1 species
GUACGAUGCCGUAGACCCGAAACCGGGUGAUCUACCCAUGUCCAGGGUGAAGGUCGGGUAACACCGACUGGAGGCCCGAACCCACGCAAGUUGAAAAUUGCGGGGAUGAGGUGUGGGUAGGGGUGAAAUGCCAAUCGAACUCGGAAAUAGCUGGUUCUCCCCGAAAUAGCUUUAGGGCUAGCCUCGAGUGAUGAGUCUUGGAGGUAGAGCACUGAUUGGACGAGGGGUCCCCACAGGAUUACCGAAUUCAGUCAAACUCCGAAUGCCAAUGACUUUAACUCGGGAGUAAGACUG